AUGCACGGCCAUAUCAGGUUGAAAACAUCGGUUCUCGUACGAUCACCGAAGUUAAGCAACGUCUAGUCUAGUUAGUACUUAGAUGGGUGACCGUUUGGGAAACCUAGUUGCUGUAAACG
rnacentral:rRNA from 1 species